GAAAGCUAGAUCUCAGCAGUCAAGGUCAAAUGAGCAAGGGGGUCCACUUGUAUUAUGCCAAGCCCCCUCACCGACUGGCCGAUGUACCCGGCUUGCUGCCCUUAUGAGCCCUCCCAAAGCAUUAUGGGCCUCUGCGAUGAAGCCUUUGCCCUUUCCAUUCAAAGAUACCGUCCGGGCAGACUUUGGCAAUGGCCGAGAAGUUGGGGUAUACCCUGGGAUGAUGGCGUCAGCCUUGGAGCGUGGCCAAAGUGUGUGGCCCCAGGACCCCGGCCUUCUUAGGAGACGCUGACUAAGAGACAACAGCCCGGCAAUGGCAGGAGCUUCCUGGAUGGCAAGGCGGCCCUCUUUUGCACCCGAAGAGGAUUCACAUCCCUGGAUGUCUGAGA